GACGAACGCUGGCGGCGUGCCUAAUACAUGCAAGUAGAACGCUGAAGAGAGGAGCUUGCUCUUCUUGGAUGAGUUGCGAACGGGUGAGUAACGCGUAGGUAACCUGCCUUGUAGCGGGGGAUAACUAUUGGAAACGAUAGCUAAUACCGCAUAACAAUGGAUGACACAUGUCAUUUAUUUGAAAGGGGCAAUUGCUCCACUACAAGAUGGACCUGCGUUGUAUUAGCUAGUAGGUGAGGUAACGGCUCACCUAGGCGACGAUACAUAGCCGACCUGAGAGGGUGAUCGGCCACACUGGGACUGGGACACGGCCCAGACUCCUACGGGGGGCAGCAGUAGGGAAUCUUCGGCAAUGGGGGCAACCCUGACCGGGCAACGCCGCGUGAGUGAAGAAGGUUUUCGGAUCGUAAAGCUCGGUUGUAAGUCAAGGACGAGUGUGGGAGUGGAAAGUUCACACUGUGACGGUAGCUUACCAGAAAGGGACGGCUAACUACGUG
rnacentral:rRNA from 1 species